rnacentral:rRNA from 1 species
CCGGAGAAUGUUAUCACGGGAGACACACGGCGGGUGCUAACGUCCGUCGUGAAGAGGGAAACAACCCAGACCGCCAGCUAAGGUCCCAAAGUCAUGGUUAAGUGGGAAACGAUGUGGGAAGGCCCAGACAGCCAGGAUGUUGGCUUAGAAGCAGCCAUCAUUUAAAGAAAGCGUAAUAGCUCACUGGUCGAGUCGGCCUGCGCGGAAGAUGUAACGGGGCUAAACCAUGCACCGAAGCUGCGGCAGCGACGCUGAUGCGUUGUUGGGUAGGGGAGCGUUCUGUAAGCCUGUGAAGGUGKSYYGUGAGGSWUGCUGGAGGUAUCAGAAGUGCGAAUGCUGACAUAAGUAACGAUAAAGCGGGUGAAAAGCCCGCUCGCCGGAAGACCAAGGGUUCCUGUCCAACGUUAAUCGGGGCAGGGUGAGUCGACCCCUAAGGCGAGGCCGAAAGGCGUAGUCGAUGGGAAACGGGUUAAUAUUCCCGUACUUGGUGUUACUGCGAAGGGGGGACGGAGAAGGCUAUGUUGGCCGGGCGACGGUUGUCCCGG